GAUGAACGCUGGCGGCGUGCCUAAUACAUGCAAGUCGAGCGAACAGACGAGGAGCUUGCUUCUCUGACGUUAGCGGCGGACGGGUAGUUACAAGUGGAUAACCUACCUUUUAGGCCGGGGAAAAUUCGGGGAAACGGAGCUUAUACCGGAUAAUAUAUUAAACCGGAUGGGUUCAUUAUGGAAGUCGGUUUUUGUGGUAAGUUAAGAUGGAUUCUCGCCGCAUUCGGUAGUUGGUAAGGUAACUGCCUACCAAGGCAACGAUGCGUGGCCGAGCUGAGAGGGUGAUCCGCCACACUGUAACUGAGCCACGGUCCAGACUCCCACGGGAGGCAGCAGUAGGGAAUCUUCCGCAAUGGGCGAAAGCCUGACGGAGCAACGCCGCGUGAGUGAUGAAGGUCUUCGGAUCGUAAAACUCUGUUAUUAGGGAAGAACAAAUGUGUAAGUAACUAUGCACGUCUUGACGGUACCUAAUCAGAAAGCCACGGCUAACUACGUG
rnacentral:rRNA from 1 species